UAUAGGAACACACAGUCUUCUAACCAGGGACCACUAAAGGUAUAGGAACACACAGUCUUCUAACCAGGGACCACUAAACGGUAUAGGAACACAGUCUUCUAACCAGGGACCACUAGAGGUAUAGGAACACACAGUCUUCUAACCAGGGACCCUAGAGGUAGAGGAACACAGUCUUCUAACCAGAACACUAGAGGUAUAGGAACACAGUCUUCUAACCAGGGACCAUAGAGGAUAGAACACAGUCUUCUACCAGGCCACUAGAGGUAUAGGAACAACAGUCUUUAACCAGGGCCC
rnacentral:lncRNA from 1 species